ACUGAGUGCUUCGCCUAAACUCCCACAAACCAUUGUGAACGAUACCAGAGUUCGUUAGCUGUGGCGGUGAUCGACCGCUCGGGGGACGCUACAAGACUCUUGCAGUAUUCGGCAUCUCUGAGUAUGACUUUUUAAAUAAGUCA
rnacentral:misc_RNA from 1 species